rnacentral:rRNA from 1 species
GACGAACGCUGGCGGCGUGCUUAACACAUGCAAGUCGAACGGUGAACGAGGGAGCUUGCUCCCUCCGGAUCAGUGGCGAACGGGUGAGUAACACGUGAGCAAUCUGCCCCGAACUCUGGGAUAAGCGUUGGAAACGACGUCUAAUACCGGAUACGACGCGGGAGGGCAUCCUCUCCGCGUGGAAAGAACUUCGGUUCGGGAUGAGCUCGCGGCCUAUCAGCUUGUUGGUGAGGUAACGGCUCACCAAGGCGACGACGGGUAGCCGGCCUGAGAGGGUGACCGGCCACACUGGGACUGAGACACGGCCCAGACUCCUACGGGAGGCAGCAGUGGGGAAUAUUGCACAAUGGGCGCAAGCCUGAUGCAGCAACGCCGCGUGAGGGACGACGGCCUUCGGGUUGUAAACCUCUUUUAGCAGGGAAGGAGCGAAAGUGACGGUACCUGCAGAAAAAGCACCGGCUAACUACGUG